rnacentral:piRNA from 1 species
UAGGGGCUGUUUGCAGAGUGGUGUGA